UACGAAGGGGGCUAGCGUUGUUCGGAAUUACUGGGCGUAAAGCGCACGUAGGCGGGUUGUUAAGUCAGGGGUGAAAUCCUGGAGCUCAACUCCAGAACUGCCUUUGAUACUGGCAACCUAGAGACUGGAAGAGGUUAGUGGAAUUCCCGGUGUAGUGGUGAAAUGCGUAGAUAUCGGGAGGAACACCAGUGGCGAAGGCGACUACCUGGCCUGUUUCUUGACGCUGAGGCGCGAAAGCUAGGGGAGCAAACGGG
rnacentral:rRNA from 1 species